rnacentral:rRNA from 1 species
CCUACGGGUGGCAGCAGUCGAGAAUCAUUCACAAUGGGGGAAACCCUGAUGGUGCGACGCCGCGUGGGGGAAUGAAGGUCUUCGGAUUGUAAACCCCUGUCAUGUGGGAGCAAAUUAAAAAGAUAGUACCACAAGAGGAAGAGACGGCUAACUCUGUGCCAGCAGCCGCGGUAAUACAGAGGUCUCAAGCGUUGUUCGGAAUCACUGGGCGUAAAGCGUGCGUAGGCUGUUUCGUAAGUCGUGUGUGAAAGGCGGGGGCUCAACCCGAGGACGGCACAUGAUACUGCGAGACUAGAGUAAUGGAGGGGGAACCGGAAUUCUCGGUGUAGCAGUGAAAUGCGUAGAUAUCGAGAGGAACACUCGUGGCGAAGGCGGGUUCCUGGACAUUAACUGACGCUGAGGCACGAAGGCCAGGGGAGCGAAAGGGAUUAGAUACCCCUGUAGUC